UACGAAGGUUGCAAGCGUUACUCGGAAUUACUAGGCGUAAAGGGCAGGUGGGUGGUUUGGUAAGUCUAUUGUGAAAGCUCCCGGCUCAACUGGGAGAGGCCAAUGGAUACUGCCAAGCUUGAGUAUAGGAGAGGUUACUGGAAUUCCCGGUGUAGCGGUGAAAUGCGAAGAUAUCGGGAGGAACACCAAUGGCGAAAGCAGGUAACUGGACUAUUACUGACACUCAACUGCGAAAGCUAGGGGAGCAAACAGG
rnacentral:rRNA from 1 species